rnacentral:rRNA from 1 species
AACGAACGCUGGCGGCAUGCCUAACACAUGCAAGUCGAACGAGACCUUCGGGUCUAGUGGCGCACGGGUGCGUAACGCGUGGGAACCUGCCCUUAGGUUCGGAAUAACUCCCCGAAAGGGGUGCUAAUACCGGAUAAUGUCUUCGGACCAAAGAUUUAUCGCCUUUGGAUGUGCCCGCGUUGGAUUAGCUAGUUGGUAGGGUAAAAGCCUACCAAGGCGACGAUCCAUAGCUGGUCUGAGAGGAUGAUCAGCCACACUGGGACUGAGACACGGCCCAGACUCCUACGGGAGGCAGCAGUGGGGAAUAUUGGACAAUGGGCGAAAGCCUGAUCCAGCAAUGCCGCGUGAGUGAUGAAGGCAUUAGGGUUGUAAAGCUCUUUUACCCGGGAUGAUAAUGACAGUACCGGGAGAAUAAGCUCCGGCUAACUCCGUG